AGAGUUUGAUCAUGGCUCAGAACGAACGCUGGCGGCAGGCCUAACACAUGCAAGUCGAGCGCGCCCUUCGGGGUGAGCGGCGGACGGGUUAGUAACGCGUGGGAAUAUGCCCAAAGGUACGGAAUAGCCUCUGGAAACGGAGAGUAAUACCGUAUGUGCCCUUCGGGGGAAAGAUUUAUCGCCUUUGGAUUAGCCCGCGUUAGAUUAGGUAGUUGGUGGGGUAAUGGCCUACCAAGCCUACGAUCUAUAGCUGGUUUUAGAGGAUGAUCAGCAACACUGGGACUGAGACACGGCCCAGACUCCUACGGGAGGCAGCAGUGGGGAAUCUUGGACAAUGGGGGCAACCCUGAUCCAGCCAUGCCGCGUGAGUGAUGAAGGCCUUAGGGUCGUAAAGCUCUUUCGCCUGUGAAGAUAAUGACGGUAGCAGGUAAAGAAACCCCGGCUAACUCCGUGCCAGCAGCCGCGGUAAUACGGAGGGGGUUAGCGUUGUUCGGAAUUACUGGGCGUAAAGCGCACGUAGGCGGAUCGGAAAGUUGGGGGUGAAAUCCCGGGGCUCAACCCCGGAACUGCCUCCAAAACUAUCGGUCUAG
rnacentral:rRNA from 1 species